GAUGAACGCUGGCGGCGUGCCUAAUACAUGCAAGUCGAGCGAACCGAUUAAGAGCUUGCUCUUAAGAAGUUAGCGGCGGACGGGUGAGUAACACGUGGGUAACCUGCCUAUAAGACUGGGAUAACUCCGGGAAACCGGGGCUAAUACCGGAUAACAUUUUGAACCGCAUGGUUCGAAAUUGAAAGGCGGCUUCGGCUGUCACUUAUAGAUGGACCCGCGGCGCAUUAGCUAGUUGGUGAGGUAACGGCUCACCAAGGCAACGAUGCGUAGCCGACCUGAGAGGGUGAUCGGCCACACUGGGACUGAGACACGGCCCAGACUCCUACGGGAGGCAGCAGUAGGGAAUCUUCCGCAAUGGACGAAAGUCUGACGGAGCAACGCCGCGUGAGCGAUGAAGGCCUUCGGGUCGUAAAGCUCUGUUGUUAGGGAAGAACAAGUACAAGUUGAAUAAGCUUGUACCUUGACGGUACCUAACCAGAAAGCCACGGCUAACUACGUGCCAGCCGCCGCCGUAAGAC
rnacentral:rRNA from 1 species